CCAGGGAUGGGGCAGCCACAACUUCUCUGGGCACCCUGUGCCAGCGCCUCAGCACCCUCACAGGGAAGAGCUUCUGCCUAAGAGCUCAUCUCAGUCUCCCCUCUGGCAGGUUAAAGCCAUUCCCCUUGGCCUGUCCCUACAGGCCCUUGUCUAAAGCCCCUCUCCAGGUUUCCUGUAGCCCACCCUACAAUACAAACCCUUAAGUAUUUUCUUUAAAGCCUGACCCAUCUGCUGCCUUCUCCUCCUGUUUCUUAAAGCUGAAUAAAUCUGUGCUCCCUCCCCUGGAUCACUGAGCUUUUCCUCUGCAGUGUUUUAUCGCACUGGGCCCAAUGUUUUGUUUGGGUUUUCCUUGCAGCAAUCUGAUGCUUUUAAGAGCAAAACCUUUAUUAGGGGCCUGGACUCGAGCAGCCAGAUCUGAUUACUUGGCAGAGGCCUGGCAGCAGAGAGACAGUCCCUGUAGGCUCUGAUGUGCAGCAGGAAACCUUCAUUACCAGAGGUUACUUGGGCUCAGGUCCAGCCUGGGCUUUAUGUGCUCAGCUCUGCACUGAUGCCGGGCUCAGUCCAUAUUGCAGCAGAGCAUUGUCUGUGCUUCGCUGAGUUGUGCCUUUGCUAAGGGAUGUGCUGGGGGGUGGUUUGGUGUAUUAGGAAUAGUUGGUGGUUCUUGGAAGAAGGGAGUGUGCUCUUUCCAUCCUGGACCAGGCUUGUUCUGUUUCUCCAGCGGGAUGGAGAAGGCAGUGUGUGUGCUCAUGGCAAAAGGUGUAUCUGUUUGUAUCCAGAGCAGAAGAGCCAGGCAACAAAGAAGAACAUGGCUCCAGGAUUGGAACCAGAUGAUCUUUAAGGUCCCUUCCAACCCAAAGCAUUGGCAGUACCCUGCACCCUCAGCACAGAGCACUCUUGAGGAGCCUCACACCCGGGUUGAAGCUGCAGGAGCCCUGGUUUGAGGUGCUGGGGAGCAAGCAUUUGGGUUUGCAGGGCUACAACACGCAGCUGUUGUGCAAGGCUGGAGUUGGAGCCUGGAAUGCUCUCCUGCUGGAGUAGACAUCAAUGGGAAAUGCAAGGUAGGAGCCUGGUGCUCAUCGCUGGAUUACAAUCUUUGAAUGGGUGCUCUCAUCACAUUAGAAGUAAUUCAGGAAAGCUCAGCCAUGUGGUCAUCCAUGUACACCCCUUCCCAGCUGAUGGGCCUGGUAGACAUACCCAUAAACCUAUUCCAGCCAGCACCAUACCCCCCUUUCUGUGCCAGAAACCACGGCAGGUCUUUGCGUUGUGGUCGCAUCCGUAAUCCUGGUGGGAGAUCUGGCAGCGCUCAAAGCAGCUCUUUCGCCUUCACAGCCUCCAAUAAGUUAUGCAGAUCUGUGCUGGAAACGUCCCCGUGACUGACAACUGUAAAGGGAAACUGGAGAGGGACCCAGGACCUGGUUCCACCAGGAUCUGAGCCAGGUGGGUGUUGAAGGAGGCUGGUCCUUUGCCAGGGGCCUAACUCAUCACUGAGUGGAGUAUCUGCACAAGGUAUCUCUGUGACUUGAGACAAGGGCUUAACUGGGGUAUAAGCCAUAAGGAAACGCUUAUUGCCAGGCAGGAUUUGACCUUCAUUGUCUUCCCUUCUCCUCUGCUAGCACAUCCUUCACUUGCUGGUGGUGGCUGGAGGAGGGCGGGAUGCUGAGCAGGGUAUCUGUCUCCCUGAUGCUCUCAUUACAAUGGUGAAGGAUGCUACCAGGACCAUUGAGUGUAAGCUCCAGCAGAGGAAAUUGGCUGUGGAUUAUUUUCUUCAUGCAUUACAUUCCCUUGCUGUUGACGUUAAUGGUUGCUUGGGUGUGUAAUCAAAGCAAGGCUUCGCAGUCUCCUACAUCCCCACACCUUCUGGUAAUGCUUUUUAUAGGUCCCAAAUCCAAGUGCAGUGCAUCAGCAGUGGAAACAUCUCACCUUAAAAUGGCUGACUGUUCACACACUGAGGCUUUCAGCUCUUUGUUCUCCUUGUGAUGGCUCUGCUCAGACCAUGAGGUUUCCUGAGGCACAUUUUAGGUGCCUGGGCUGCAGGAGGCUAAAAGCAAUGGGGAUGAACAAUGUGCAUGUCCUGGGGUGCAGGCGGCUCGAGCCCCAGGAGGGAACACUGCUCUGUAAAGUGUAAUUACAGCAGUGAGCCAGGCAGCCAGGCCAGCACCUUCUUCCAGACGGCAGGAAUCUGGUGCAGAGAAGGCAGAUGCAGGUCUCCCAGCUUUAUGCACACCUAAAAUGGUGUCUCCACUGUGGGGCACAUGGGCAUCCCCAGCACCCUGGGUUCCUGUGAGGGUCUGGUGGUAGCUGUGGGUCCAGAAGCUGUGGCCACACAAGGAACCUGCCCUCUCAGGCUCCCCUUUCUCUUUUUUAGGGGGAAAAGGAUGAGAUCUCACUCAGCCUCCCAUUGCAGGGCUGCUUCUGUGCUACUGACAGCCUGCCCAGCACCUCCAGCACAGUCCCUAUGGGACAUCCAUCAGCACAGGACACCUGGCACUGGAUCACAGCCGUUGUCAGAGAGGACAAAGGAAGCAAGAGGUAAAUGCAAAGAGGAGCACUAAUGGUCUGUGCCACUGGAGCUGCUGGGGCUUUGACAGUGGGGAGGGCAGGAUGUGACCAUCCCACACACCAGGCUGAGACCCUGAGCUGCAAGUGGGUUGAUGUGGAAGCUUCAGCAGGGGAGAUGCAGUUUCAUAGCGGGGUGCCUGCAGGUUAUCCAUGUUUGCAACAGUCCACCCAGCACGAGGACAAUUUGUUGCUGGUUGUGUUGGGUUGUUCAGCUGGAAACUGGAGCAUCCCAUGAAUGCUCGGGCUCCUUUGCAGGGCCUGUGGGAUAUGGAAGCACCCCAUUGGAAGGGUGGGCAGGCUUGGGAUGGAUGCAGCAGCUCACACAGCAGAUGC